CCAGCCAUAGCAAGAACAAAGGAAGAAAAGAAGAACAAAAAUCCUAGAGUGAAAAUUCAAGAGAAAAUUGGUGGAUUUCAAUUAAUCAAGCAAUCAAAGGUAAAAUUUCUUGAUUUUUACUUGUGAUCAAUCUUUCCCACGCAUUCUUUUGCAUUUUCCAUGGUUGAAUCACAUGAUUUCAUGAUGGGUCUCUUGCUGGCCGAACACUUAGAGAGAGAUUUUAAUGGUUGUUUUGAUUAGAUUUUAAGAUAUUCUAGUGUUUUUAGUUGAUUAGUGAUGUGUAGCAUGAAAAUCAAGCAAGAAAAAUUCAUGUUCUUCCAUAACCCUCAUUGGCCGAAUUCUCCAUGUGGAAUAUUGAUGAUGACUUUGAUUUUUUUUUUUCAAGUGAAUUGGUUAGGAAAUGAUGAAUUAUGGUGAGAAAAUCAAGUAGGAAAAACCAUAGUGUUGAUGCACCCACCAUGGCCGAACUUCUCAAGAGAAAAUGUGAAAAUGAUUUUGCUAAAUUUUUUGCUAUUUGACUUGUGUUUGAUGGUUUGGUGAAUUGGAAGAAAAAUGGAGUAAUUGGAGACUGUUUUCUAUGUUAUAAAUCAUGGUUUGAAUUGAAUGGCUUAUGAUAAUGUGGGCAUGAGUGGCUGGACUAGUAAUUGUGCUAAACAUAUAUGAACUAUUGUUUGCCUUGAUAGGCUGGAUAAUGAUAAAAUUGCCAUGUCAUGCUGUUGAAUUUUAUUGAAUUGGUGGGUUAUAGAUUGGUCACCGCAGUGGCGGGUUCUGUGGACCAACCUAUUAGAGAGGCACGAAAUCUUGUUAUAUUCUAACCUCGAUUGGAGAGGUGCGUAAGGUAACUCCCGAGGUAAAACUUUAGAGUUCACUUCAUGUUAAACCACCACGUGAGGGUGAACUCAGCCAAUGCUACGGAACGGCUAUGUUUUCAAAAUAAAAACAUGAUUUAUGCGUACAUAACUUUUUAACAACCUUGGUAGACUUGGUUGGGAUAGCCCUCGGCCAAGGUAUCCCUUACAACUGAGUAUGAGAAUAAUUUUGGCACAAGCCAAGUUUUAAGAAAUUCAUAAGCCAUGUUGAUUACUCGAUUUAAAUGAAUUGAUUUUAAUUUGUUGAAAUGAGUUGAAAAGUGAUGAAUUACAGUAUGAUGAUUUAUUUCAUUUGUCUCCAUUUAGUCGACUUUAGAUAUUUUGGAUGAUGUUUGUUUACUCACUGAGAUUAUAUAAUCUCAGCACCCUUCUUUCUACCACUUUCAGGCUCAGAAUAGUCGGUAGAUAGCUCAUUUCAUUAAAAGCUACCGUUGGAUUUGCAUCCUGCAAACUGCAGGUUCAUAGCCUUUAUUACUUUUGGUUAUUCGAGGGCCCACUUGUUAUUGUGAAUUAAAUCUUAUACUUUGGUUAUUUGUAUUACAGUAUGUAUGAAUUUAUUUAGCUUUUUAUGCUACAAAAAUUAUUUACCGAUAACUCUAUAAAUAUUGUUUUAUAAGAAAAUAGAAUAUUUUAUUGAAUAUUUUUAUUAUAUUCAAAAAGGUAUAGUUUCACUUUAAAUGAAUGUUUUAGACAUCUAAACUUAUUUUUUAUUAUGAAAUAUGUGUUAUCCACUCGCAUACUACAUUUUUAGUUGGUUUCGAGAUUUUGAGGAAAAAUGACCAAAAUGUCCCUAUGAGAAAAAAUUUAUUUUUCUAUUGUUUUGAUUUGGAAAUAGUUUAUAAUCUCUCAAAACAUGAUACUUAACAACUGUUGCUCACAGGGGAGGUGCGAAAAUUGAUAUUAAAGCCUUGCAAGGUUCCGGUUGGCAUUUCAGGCAAUGAAUGUCCAUUGGGAUGUCGCGACGGUUGUCACGAGCUCGAAGGGAGUACCGGGUUGUGACAACUUUUCUAGUUGAUGGAUGGCAUUCGCUUCAUGUUUCCCAAUGCAAACAUUGAAUUAUGAUUGCUUUUAACCAAAAUUGAAAAUGAUUUUUAUUUAAAAUCGUUUAUAAGAUUAUAAAACCAUUUAUAGCAAUUAACAAGACUUUCGAUGGCAUGCAUGACUAUAAAUGGAGUUUUCUUAUCGAUUGAU
rnacentral:lncRNA from 1 species